AUUGCUUCUUGGCCUUUUGGCUAAGAUCAAGUAUAGUAUCUGUUCUUAUCAGGUUUUAAAAAAAUAUCACUUGUCUGAUACAGGCUUAUGAUAGGAACUUGUGUUAAAAAGAAAGUGGGGACUGGAUAUUAGUGACCAAUGAGCUUAAUAUGCACAACAUAAUCCCUCUUUCCUCUUUGCCAGAAGAGAUGCUUU